ACAGAGCACAACAAAAAGAAAUGAAAUAAAAUAAAAUGGGCACUAAAAUUUAAGGUCCAUUAUCUCCUAGUGAGACAUUUGCGUAUCAAUAGGCUAAGGAGGACCACAAUCAAUCGAUUGGACGGUAGAAAUGAGACAAGAAGAUGCACACCUUCAUUGAAAUUGUAAAGCGAUAAAGGGCGAACGAUGCACACCGUCCAGAACAGUGGAGGACAAAACCGGCCCCAACGAUGCGAGACGAUGCCGUCAACGAUGCAGUCAAGAACAGCUGCGACGCUGCCAAAAAUCAACGAUGGAAUGACAACUAAGGCGCCUUAGAGUGAAGGGGGACGAUGGCGG
rnacentral:lncRNA from 1 species